AUUGAACGCUGGCGGCAGGCUUAACACAUGCAAGUCGAGCGGGGUGAUGGUGCUUGCACUAUCACUUAGCGGCGGACGGGUGAGUAAUGCUUAGGAAUCUGCCUAUUAGUGGGGGACAACAUCUCGGAAGGGAUGCGAAUACCGCAUACGUCCUACGGGAGAAAGCAGGGGAUCUUCGGACCUUGCGCUAUAGAUGAGCCUAAGUCGGAUUCGCUAGGUAGGGGGGGUAAAGGCCUAACAAGGCGACGAUCUGUAGCGGGUCUGAGAGGGUGAUCCGCCACACAUGGGCAGAGACACGGCCCAGACGCCUACGGGGGGCAGCAGUGGGGAAUAUUGGACAAUGGGGGAAACCCUGAUCCAGCCAUGCCGCGUGUGUGAAGAAGGCCUUAUGGUUGUAAAGCACUUUAAGCGAGGAGGAGGCUACUGAGACUAGUACUCUUGGAUAGUGGACGUUACUCGCAGAAUAAGCACCGGCUAACUCUGUGCCAGCAGCCGCAGUAA
rnacentral:rRNA from 1 species